rnacentral:misc_RNA from 1 species
GAAAUGCGAUAAUUAAUGUGAAUUGUAGAAUUCAGUGAAUCAUCGAGUCUUUGAACGCACAUUGCGCCCCCUGGUAUUCCGGGGGGCAUGCCUGUCCGAGCGUCAUUGCUGCCCUCAAGCACGGCUUGUGUGUUGGGCUUCCGUCCCUGGCAACGGGGACGGGCCCAAAAGGCAGUGGCGGCACCAUGUCUGGUCCUCGAGCGUAUGGGGCUUUGUCACCCGCUCCCGUAGGUCCAGCUGGCAGCUAGCCUCGCAACCAAUCUUUUAACCAGGUUGACCUCGGAUCAGGUAGGGAUACCCGCUGAACUUAAGC